rnacentral:sRNA from 1 species
CUCGUGGCUAGUUCAGGCGGAAGGAGCAGUCCUCUGAAGCUUGAGGAGCCUCUAGAACUAUGAGCCCGAGGCCUUCCCCUUUCCCAGAGCGCAGAGGCUUUGAAGGCUACCUCUGGGAAGCCGCUCACCGUCGGAAGCUGCGGGAGCUGAAACUGCGCCAUCGUCACUGUCGGCGGCCAUGAUACCUCUCGUCUCCCGCCUGAGUCGUCAGCGGGCCAUCAUGAGGAAGCCACGAGCAGCCGUGGGAAGUGGUCACAGGAAGCAGGCAGCCAGCCAGGAAGGGAGGCAGAAGCGUGCUAAGAACAACAGUCAGGCCAAGCCUUCUGCCUGUGAUGGCAGAAGAUGAGGUGGACCUGGACAGGCGGGCAUAUGCUGGUCAGUACAUCUCCUGAGAGCAGGGCUACUUUGCCUCGAGGCCCUUGGGUCUGGGGGCUGUGGGCCAGGUAGGGCAGGUCAGCAGUGUCCUCAUGCCAACCCCUUUCCCCUAGUGUGGGUCUCAGAGGUCAUGCUGCAGCAGACCCAGGUUGCCACUGUGAUCAACUACUAUACCGGAUGGAUGAAGGUGACUCCAGGGGAGGAAGGGAAGGGUCAUGGGUCAGACCCCAGAUGAGAGCCUGUACUUUGGGGUGGGUGUAGAGAAGGCUUCCUCUACCACCUUCGCCCUUGACCUUGUCUUUUUCUGCCUGCCUGUGGCUAUAGAAGUGGCCUACACUGCAGGACCUGGCCAGUGCUUCCCUGGAGGUGAGAGCCACCCUAGGGUAGGGGAAAUAGGAAUGAUAGAGGGACUGAAGGGUGAUCUCUUUGACCUCUGAUCCUACC